AUCGCUGGACUUCAGGAUCUUCCUCCGUUCAGCUCAAGGUGAGGUGCUGGUUCUGUUUUUUCUUUGGUUGGUUCCGGCCGGAAUGUUCGGAUUCCAGUCGGACGGUUUGUGCUUCCUGCCGUGGAAGGUUCUGAGUGCGGUCACUUGAUUUAGUCCCAAUGGUUAGCAUAGAACAUUGUAGUCUUGACAACCAUAAGAAACCACCUGGCAGUUAGUUGGACGGGAGUCCCCUGAGGGAAUCUGGCGGAACGUUCUGGAUUGUAUUUGCGUAACCUCGAGCCGUUGCCAACAAACUAUUUUUCGGUUUCCAUUGGGAAUUGUUGCCCCCUAUCUUAAACAACUGAAGUUUGAUAUUAAAUACAUACUGACAUGCACGUCGUGCAAUAUGUUAAUUUCCGAUGGUUGCGCCGUACUUUUAACCACGAUGACGUUGCGGGACUCUCACUGCGUACAAAACGGCGUUCUACUUGCGGGCCCAUUUUUUACAUCAGGGAAGGCUGAAAAUCAUUUCAAGGUGGAAGAUAAUUUGACAUUUCUUCAACGGAACCCAGCACCUGAAUAUGGCUGAGUAUAUUUGAUUUAAUAUCGGUACUGCUUAGUGUUCUUUGUUACUUCAGCUUUUGUACGUUCUAAAUAUCUGCUGUCAUUAAUUGCCACAGAAGUUAAACCCUACCCAAUGGAAUGACGUUAAACAACGACUUUGGUGUAGAGUUACCGACUGGAUAAUAUCAAGGCUAAAAUAAUGGCCGUAAUUCACACAUGUUACAGUAGAAGAUACUCUAGAACUGUACAAGGUUAAAAAGGUAACAUGUAGUUUGUCCCAAGGUGUCUGCCUCCUCACCCAGAGCAAGACCUCCACUUCCUCACCCAGAGCCAGACCUCCACCUCCUGUCAGAAGUCCUCCAGAACAGCUGAAAGGCGAGGCUGAGAGGCUGGGGACCGGAAGCUUGUGGUGCCAGGGUGAACCGGAGACUGAGGCUGGAGACCAGGGGCCUGCAGCACCGGACCAGAGGGUAACCAUCACCAAGCUCAUCUGAAACACUAAAAUCCACAACCAGGAAUCCAUGGCUGAAGGAGCUGAUGGAGGAGCCGUGCUGAAGGAACUGAUGGAGGAGCCGAGCUGAUGGAGGAGUCGUGCUGAAGGCCCUGCCUUGUGGAGGAGCUGGUGGAGGCCCUGCCUGGUGAAGGACGUCUGUCGUGGGGUAGAUGGAACUUGACUCUGAAGUGAUCAUCACACUCACUGCCACUUCUCGUAGAAUACUGCUACCACAAACUACAGGCGUUUGUACCAUAUAUACCAGACGACUACAUCUGUUUUUACCACAUGUUGAAGCAAGAGUUCCGCUGUUUGUUCCAGACACGGACUCUGUCUGAGGAGAGCUGCUGGAGGAGCUGAGAUGCUGGAGGACGACUAGGAAUCGACCAACAAGGAUUCCUUAACGUGUUUCUGGAGCGGAGGCGAGCUGGUAGGGGAGCCAUGAAUCUGGAGGAUGACCAUCACUCUACCAUCA